rnacentral:rRNA from 1 species
GCUUCCUACUCCUUUAAGAAGUGGGGAAUAUUGGACAAUGGGCGCAAGCCUGAUCCAGCCAUACCGCGUGGGUGAAGAAGGCCUUCGGGUUGUAAAGCCCUUUUGUUGGGAAAGAAAUCCUGCCGGUUAAUAACCAGUAGGGAUGACGGUACCCAAAGAAUAAGCACCGGCUAACUUCGUGCCAGCAGCCGCGGUAAUACGAAGGGUGCAAGCGUUACUCGGAAUUACUGGGCGUAAAGCGUGCGUAGGUGGUUGUUUAAGUCUGCUGUGAAAGCCCUGGGCUCAACCUGGGAAUUGCAGUGGAUACUGGGCGACUAGAGUGUGGUAGAGGAUAGUGGAAUUUCCGGUGUAGCAGUGAAAUGCGUAGAGAUCGGAAGGAACAUCUGUGGCGAAGGCGACUAUCUGGGCCAACACUGACACUGAGGCACGAAAGCGUGGGGAGCAAACAGGAUUAGAUACCCUGGUAGUCCACGCCCUAAACGAUGCGAACUGGAUGUUGGGCACAACUUGGUGCCCAGUAUCGAAGCUAACGCGUUAAGUUCGCCGCCUGGGGAGUACGGUCGCAAGACUGAAACUCAAAGGAAUUGACGGAAGC